ACAUCCAAUAUCAAAAAAAAAAUCCAAUUUCAAACUUUAUGGGGUUAUUUUUAUUGAUGGAGGAUUUUCCUUACAUUUGUGGAGCCUAUAAAAAGGCCACAGGGUCAUUGACUCAAAUCAUAAGCAAAUUAUUAGUAGUCAUAUAAAUUUACCAACAAAUUGAUUUGUACUAUUUUGGGACCUAUUUCAACCUAUUUUCAGAGGGCUCACAAGAUUUAUAAACAUAAAGGAUAUAAUUCUAAAGUGGCACAACUUCUCCAGAAAUGAGACACAGAGAUCACGUGCCCAGCUCCUACUGUGUAGCAGUGACUAUUAAAGGCUGGCUCUCUAGGCUUCACAUCUUCUUUGGGACCGAAGCAGACAAGGGGACACUGCCUAUGUUCUGUAACAGAGGGCUCACAAGAUUUAUAAACAUAAAGGAUAUAAUUCUAAAGUGGCACAACUUCUCCAGAAAUGAGACACAGAGAUCACGUGCCCAGCUCCUACUGUGUAGCAGUGACUAUUAAAGGCUGGCUCUCUAGGCUUCACAUCUUCUUUGGGACCGAAGCAGACAAGGGGACACUGCCUAUGUUCUGUAACAGAGGGCUCACAAGAUUUAUAAACAUAAAGGAUGUAAUUCUAAAGUGGCACAACUUCUCCAGAAAAGAGACACAGAGAACACGUGCCCAGCUCCUACUGUGUAGCAGUGACUAUUAAAGGCUGGCUCUCUAGGCUUCACAUCUUCUUUGGGACCGAAGCAGACAAGGGGACACUGCCUAUGUUCUGUAACAGGUCAGUUAUGCUCAAUAUCAAACUUUGGUUCACAGAAUUAAUGGUGGAAGUUGUAGCUACCUUUAUCCUGGGUAAGAUAAGAAGUUAUGUUCCUGCAUUGUUUGUGACAUGGCCGGACAACCAAUGGAAAUUCCUGGGUUGUUUCAAAAAGAUGUGCCAGUUUAUGGUGAAGAAGACCCUUAUUUAUGUCCUGAGUUCUCUUGCGUCCAUUAUACACAAUCUAAUUGUUGGAGAAGUCUUCAUCAAUAAGCUAUAUUACUUUCUACACAAAAAGAUGGUUUCUGAACCCACAGCUGUGGUUGUCGUUUAGCUACUCUUACACCUACUCACCCUGCAGUCGUUGGGGGGAUACUUGGCACCCGGAGGAGAGCAAAGGACUUUCCUCGCUUAUCUACUGCCACUGGAGGCUUGUGUGCAUGCUCGGCUCUCUCCCCGAGCCUGGCCCAUUCUAUCCUCUCACAAAGAACAUAAUAACAUAAGAACAUUUAAAUAAAUAAAUAAAUA